ensembl:lncRNA
GGAGGCUGAUCUCUCACCACAACCGAGAGGCUGAUCUCUCAUGAUCUCUCACCACGACACGAGCUUUCUGCCUUCAGAUCCUUCUCUACGGACCGUUUGUUGACGGACUUCCCUGGGCCUGCUACCUGAGACCUGCUGCUUCCUCCCUGACCUGCACCCUCUGGUUGCCCAAGACCGGCCUCGCUGCUCCUGCUCUUCGGCCUCGGACCGUCAGAAGGUCGUGCAAUGGGACUGCUGCCGGAUCCUGGUGUGGCACAGCAGUGUUCCUGUUCCAGCUGUGUACUGGAAAGAAGAGGAACGGACAUGAAAUUACCCCAUUUUCUGGACAGGAAAAAAGAGUGUACGUUGUUACACUAUUCCUGUCAAAACCUUUGUUCCACAUUCACCGGCCCUCCAUUUCCAAUCAGCAUACAUCUCUUUACAGAAGCAUCAUCAGGAAAUCAAAUGCUGUAGUUGUACGGUUUACAAUAAGACUGAAUUCUCUGGGCAUUUGUGCAACUAGAACCCGGAAUAUAAUUUCUAUUAAAAUAUUUUUGCAUAUAUUGUAUUCCAAAGCAUGUUCAUUUUUCAACAUAUGCUUGAUCCUUUUUAGCUUACCGUUGAACUUUAGAUACAUUUGGCUGUUGUAAAUAAUGCAUACAUUAAACUGCAUGUUUAACAUUGCUUGGUUUCCUGUUAGUAUUUAUGCUGCAGUAAUCUUCAGCAAUAGAAUGAUGAGAGGUUCUGUUUAUCAUUUGGUGUUCAUUUAUUAUUAAUCUUAGAUUUGACAGGCUCCAAGAUGCUAUUAUUUCUUCUACUGUGGAGCAUAAGUGAGCUACAAGAAUGGGUACAUUUUCCAGUUUUGAUGAAAAUACUUGUGCAUUUUUCUAGAGUGUUUUUUUUCUUUCCAAAUACAUUGUCUUCUAAUGGAGAUUAUGGCACGUGUAAGCUUAUUUAGCAUGCUUUACAUAUACAUGUAUUAAGAAAGUGAGAAUUCAAAAGAAAUUAUUGUGAUAUUUUCUGCUUUUUAUUUUUGAUUGAGAAGAUGUAUUAUUAUAGGAUCAAUUAAAGUUUGAAAAGGAGAGGGGAACAAAACACAAGCUGAUAUAUACACAGACAUAUAUAAAUAUAUAUAUUUGCUAACACUGAAGGCAGUAAAGCAGAAGUGUGCUAGUUUUGGUAUAUUUAUAAAUUCCCAUAUUUUUAUUGCAUCAGAGUCCUCACUAAAGAGACGACGAUAGUUCUAAUGAUUAUCUCCAAUGUGGUAUUUAAAAGUAAGCUGAGCUCCUAAAUUUGAGCCAGUCUACUCUCAGGGAAAUCAAAGCAAAUGAAAACGCCUGCAUAACAAAGGAUAAUAUUCAGCUGCAAUGGGGAGAGGGUGAUCCAGAUCUUCAAUACUGUCAGCUGCAGCUUCAUUAUCCACACCAUGACCUUCCUUGGUACACUGUCUCUGUCGUAAGACCUGUUCUUUCAGACUGCUGUUACCUCCUGCUGUUUCAUUCUAAAUGUGUCUAAAUAAGAUGUGUCUUAUCCAUACAGAUAAUAACCAUUUACAUACAUUUUCUGAAUACCCUUAAAAUCUUUAAUUCCUAAACCAAAGCUGUUAUCUGCUAGGAUCUCCUUGUGCAGACCUACUUGUCUUUCGGUUUGUUUGACCUUUUGAGAUAGUGGUGUCAAGUCUGAAAAGCUUUUAAUCUAUUUAGUGACCAGUAUCAAGCAAUAUAAAUAGAAAGAAAAUCUAUAAUUUGACAGGUAGCAAGGGAAAUCAGUAGUAAAUUCAGAUCAAUUCUUGGUUAAAAUUCUUGGAAGAGGUUUUAGCCUUUUGUAGGCUUUAAAUUGAUGCAAAACAGUUCCUGAAACAAGCGUGCAGUACUAAAACAUCUGUUCACAGUCAAAUAUAGCAGCAGUAUUCAGAAGGGCGUGUGCCCACAUGACAUUUUGCUUAUCAGUUUUAUCUGAAGAAAUAAUGGAAUUUUUAUUUGAGGUAAUGUAAAUAAGGAAUAUUUUAAAAUAUACAGAAAACCAAGAGAUACCUGAUAAGCUGCGUUGACAUAGAAUAAGGGUAACGUUUGGAGACCUUUGGAGUCCACCAAGAUCUAAGAGUAAUUCCUCUGCACCUCAGAUUUCUCCACAGUGUAUGCCAGCAAAACUAAAAUCUGACAAAUGGAAAUAAACCCUUUGUAUGCUCAAAUGAAUGCUUUUUUUUGUGCAGAAUGCACAGGAUGGUUUGUGUCCAUCCAUCUGUCAGUGAGACUGUAAGCAUUUUUUCUUCAUUCUCUGUGUAUCCCCACCAGAGGGAACCUGCAAAAUGGCCUGUUCUUGUUCUUUCCCAAGGACCAGAAUGCUGUGAAAACUGAACUGCUCUGGUAAUAAGGUACAGCUCAAUGGAAGUAGGGGGAUCAGAAUCUUAAUUGCUGCAUUCUCGCAGCAAUCAAUACAAAAGAUCCAAGAAAUCAGAGGGGAAGAGAGUCAUAUAGUUGCAGGCAGGCAGGCAAGUGUGAAUACAUAUAUGUACACCCCUCAUAGCCCUUUUGACAGAGAGCUGUGCAGUCUUUACACACACACGUACACCUUUGUUUGAAAUUUGAAUGAUCCUAAUAGCUACUUCGACGAUCCUAGCAAUGUUAGCCAGUCUCAAUAAUGGAAUUUGGUUGUGGGGGAGCCCAAGAUCACCCCACAGAUCACAAACAUAGCCUACAAAUAAAGCA